rnacentral:rRNA from 1 species
UACGUACCGUACGAACGUUAUUCGGAAUUACUGGGCUUAAAGGGUUUGUAGGCGGCCUUGUAAGUCAGGUGUGAAAUCCCUCGGCUCAACCGAGGAACAGCGCUUGAUACUGCAAGGCUUGAGGGAGACAGGGGUAAGCGGAACUGAUGGUGGAGCGGUGAAAUGCGUUGAUAUCAUCAGGAACACCGGUGGCGAAAGCGGCUUACUGGGUCUCUUCUGACGCUGAGGAACGAAAGCGUGGGUAGCGAACGGG